GACAAACACAGGUAGUGCACAUAAGUUCCAUGCUGAGAUGAGCAUAGAGGCCUGUGGGAACUCACAGCUGCACUGGGGGAGAGCCUGCUGAAGCUGCUUGAAUCUCAACACUGUCAUACCCGCCAUCUCAUUAUCUACAGCCACAUCUAAAACCCACAUGAAAUACCAAGUCACACGCGGCUCUGGGAAAGACAUUUUACAGAGACCAUCUUAUGAGUUUUUAAUCUGCCUCCUGAGAACUUACAAUCUAAGAAAUAGAAAACUGAUUCCAGUAAGCAUGCCCAGAAUAUGCUAGCAGCAAGAUUAAAACAUGAAACUAUGAAUGUUAAGAAGAACAAUUUUUAAAAAAUCAUUGGACAUCAAACCAAAACAAAUCAUGGUGCCUCCACACAAUGGGAUAUUCCUCAGCAGUAGAAAGGAAUGGACUACUGAUCACGCAGUAAUGAUGACGAAUGUCAAUGUAAUUAUGCCAAGUGAAAGAAGCCAGCCAAAAGGUGGAGAAGAUGAGUUAAGGACGUUUCAAGCAGAGUUGCCAGCAUGAGUAAGGUCAUGGAAAUUGUGACGGUGACCAUGACCUUUGGAAGUAAUGCAAAGUCCCGUGUGCCUGGAACAUAGAUAGAGAGGGAUGCAGGAGAGAGAGGUGACAGGAAGUGCGACAAUGAGCAUUUGUUGGGAAGAGGCUAUAAAGUUCUUUAACUGCUGUGCUGCUUGAAGAUCUCUCUCCUACCACUUCUGGUGACCUGCUUUGCCUUUCCAAGUUGCCUCAAUUUCCUCUUAACUAUUCCUGGCUUCUCAAGAACUCUCUAUAGCAGAUGAUGAUCCUCCUGUCUCCUGCUCAGCUGCCAAGGAGUUAGGCUCCAGAUUCAGUAUCUGACUCAAUUAAUUUUCAGAAGAGAAAGGCAAAGUGAAUUAAAGUAACAAACCCUACCUGCUGUCACUUAAACGAGGAGAUGUAUUACUUUUUACUACAAUGAUAUUUGCUACA
rnacentral:lncRNA from 1 species